rnacentral:rRNA from 1 species
AUGGCAUCCAAAACAGCGCUCAUGGCUGUGGCUCUGCUCGUCCUUGUGGCCGGCGACCUCGCCCAUGGCCACGCCGUGCCGCUCGGACGAGCAACCGCCCGUCGGAGCCUCGGCUGGAUGCAAGGCAUGAAGGGAGGGCCGCCCAGUGGCAUGCAGCCAUCAGAGGCUGCUGCUUCUGCUGCUGCCCGCCGCCGCGCCAUUUCUUGGGUGCAAAAAGGCGAGGAAAGCAGCCGGGCCGGUGGCGGGGAGGAAGGCAAGUUCAUCGCGCCUGUGCCGGGAUUCAAGCUCCCGCCCCUUCCUCCCAACGCUGCCUGA